rnacentral:rRNA from 1 species
AUUGAACGCUGGCGGCAGGCCUAACACAUGCAAGUCGAACGAGUGGCGGACGGGUGAGUAAUGUCUGAGAAACUGCCCGAUGGAGGGGGAUAACUACUGGAAACGGUAGCUAAUACCGCAUACCAUCGGAUGUGCCCAGAUGGGAUUAGUUAGUAGGUGGGGUAAUGGCUCACCUAGGCGACGAUCCCUAGCUGGUCUGAGAGGAUGACCAGCAAAACUGGAACUGAGACACGGUCCAGAUCCCUACGGGAGGCAGCAGGGGGGAAUAUUGCACAAGGGGCGCAAGCCUGAGGCAGCAAUGCCGGGUGUGUGAAGAAGGCUUUGGGGUUGUAAAGCACUUUCAGCGGGGAGGCGUUACCCGCAGAAGAAGCACCGGCUAACUCCGUGCCAGCAGCCGCGGUAAUA